UACGUAGGGUGCGAGCGUUGCCCGGAUUUAUUGGGCGUAAAGGGCGCGUAGGCGGCUCGGCACGUCCGUUGUGAAAUCGCCCGGCUCAACUGGGCGGGGUCAGCGGAUACGGUCGAGCUCGAGCAAGCUAGGGGGCAAUGGAAUUCCCGGUGUAGUGGUGGAAUGCGUAGAUAUCGGGAGGAACACCAGUGGCGAAGGCGGAUCUCUGGGCCUUACCUGACGCUGAGGCGCGAAAGCUAGGGGAGCAAACAGG
rnacentral:rRNA from 1 species